UUUUUUUUUUUUUUUGACAAAAUGGGUUUCAAUAUGUUGCCCUACAAAACAAUAUUGGUAUGGAGAUGCAACAUAGGCUGUGUACCAGGUAAAGAUCAAAUGAAGCACUCGAGCAGGUCAAGAUAAAGAGAACUUAAGUUAUUAAUAAAACAAUGUUAUCACAAUUUGAAAUCGUAAAAACAAAACCAUCUCUCUUGAUGAAGGAGAUGAAAUAUACUUUUAAGAACACAAAAAAGAUACUACAAAUGCUCAUUGUUGCAAAAGUCCAUGGGAAAAAAAAUAAAACAAAAAUGAAAUGAAUUUUUUAGGAGUUUUUGAUGUUCUUCACUUCUUACUCUUCUUCUUCCUAGAGGCAAAGCUUCUAGGUCCAAUUUCAAUUGACAUUCUUUUUGUCCUGUAAAGUAGAAAAGUAAAAAGUUGUUUCUAACUCGAGGAGAGAUCAAGAGGAAGAUUGAGUCCCAACGAAAACAGAAAAUCAAAUAAUAUAGCAACAUACCGCCUAGAAAGCUCUUCUGACUCCCUGCCAUUUUCUUCAACUUUACCAUCUGAUGAGAAAAAUAUUGUCAAUUACAAAGAUCAGGUGCGAAGUAUAUCUGUUACAUUUGCUAAUUCUAAUUUCUAACACAGGCAUAGAAAAACUAAUAUUUUAAAGUAGACCAAGCUUCACAAUUAAUAGGGAGUAGGACACUUAAAAAAGAAGGAGAAGAGUUGAUAAAAAUGCAACAACCUUAAGGUAGGCCCUCUCUCUUUAAGAGUUCACUUAAUCUAGAUAUAUGUGCUCUAUGAUAAAGAGCUUGAUCAACAAAUAUAAUCUCUAUUUGUUCUGUGUUCAUUUAAAAUUCACAAAAAAUAUAACCUUUAUAAAAAAAAAAAAAGAGCUUGCUUG
rnacentral:misc_RNA from 1 species